rnacentral:lncRNA from 10 species
GUAUAAGCUGAGAAUUUUAAUUUAAAGAAGACCAAAAUUGGUAGUGUCCCCAUGUCUGAUGGAAACAAACACAAAUUCUCCCAUGAAGAAUUUACAUUUAGGGCCUUGAAUAAUUUGCAUAUAGUUUUAAUGAGCAUAAAGUCACACACAUACAUAAACAUCAUGAAAAAUAUAGGGGAAUAAAGCACCAUUAGCAAGAGUCAGCAGAAACAAUAGAAAUAUUUAUAAAGAUUAUUAGAUUACUGGAACUAUCAGAUACAGAAUAUAAAGCUGUUUGAUAUGUUUACAUAAAUAAAUGAAAAAAAUUUUAAACAUAAUUAUAAUUCAUAACCACCAAAUGACAAUGCAUUUUUGAAAAACAACAAAAUAUAAUAAUUAAAAUUGAAAACUUAAUGGAGCUUUUGCUUUUUGGACAUAGCAAUAGCAAGCCAUUACUCCACCAUAACUUAGGAAGUAAGCACAUUGUAUAUAUUUUUUUCUUUGAAGACACUGGAGACCGAUGUAAGCAAUGACUUAGCUUAACUAAAAUUCUUAAGAAGGAAAAACAUUUCCUGAGUGAGCUGGCCUUAUUCUCUGAGGUCAUUUCUCAAACAUGAGAGCUGAGGACUGGGCCCUGCUAAAGGUACUGGCAUCUCUACUAGAGGAAAGAGAAUCCAACAGACAUUUUGACAGCCAUUGGGAUGGCAUGACGGAUUGGAAUCUAGAAAAACCCCCAAAUGCAUGGCCAGUUUGCCCUAUGGGGCAUUUGCUGAGUACUAGGGCAGCAUGGAAGGGUGGAAGGUGGGGCUAGGAAGGCGAGAAAGACAAGGUUAAACCUUUCAUAGUCUUUUUUUUUUUUUUUUUUUUUUGAGACAGGGUCUCACUCUGUCACCCAGGCUGGAGUGCUGUGGUGCAAUCACAACUCACUGCAGUCUCGACCUCCUGGGAUUAAGUGAUCCUCCAGGCUCAGCUUCCUGAGUAGCUGGGAUCACAGGCAUGCACCACUACGCCUGGUUAAUUUUUGUAUUUUUACAAGAGACAGGGUUUCACCAUAUUGCCCAGGCUGGCCUCUAACUUCUGGGCUCAAUCGGUUGGUCCACCUCAGCCUCCCAAAGUGCUGGGGUUACAGGUGUGAGCCACAGAGUCUGGCCCCUUUCAUAGUCUUGAUAUGCUUGGAAACAAAAUUCUGAGAAAGACAAGUCCACAAUAAACAUAUGGCAGGCCUCAUUCUGUAGACAUUUGAAACUACAGGGCACUGAAUCUAAUCAAGGUGGCUUCCUAGCCCUAGCCCAGUUCAAUUCCUAAUAAAGUGAUAUGUAGAAAACAAUCAGAGGCCAGGUGCCUUGGCUUACGCCUGUAAUCCCAACACUUCGGGAGGCCAAGGCCGGAGGAUCAUUUAAGCCCAGGAGUUCCAGACCAGCUUGGGCAACAUACCCAGCUACUCAGGAGGCUGAGGUGGGAGGACUGCUUAAGCCCAGGAUGUUGAGGCUGCAGUGAGCCAAGAUCAUGCCAUCGUACAUGCCUAGGGGACACAGUGAGACCAGUUUCCAAAAAAAAAAAGGAAACAUAAUUAGGAAGCACAUGUGAAACACUUAAAAAACUGGCCAUACUGUGGCUGGGUGCGGUGGUUCACGCCUGUACUCCCAGCACUUUGGGAGGCCGAGGCGGGCGAAUCACGAGGUCAGGAGUUUGAAACCAGCCUGGCCAACAUGGUGAAACCCCGUCUCUACUAAAAAUAUAAAAAAUUAGCUGGGAGUAGUGGCGGACGCCUGUAAUCCCAGCUACUCGGGAGGCUGAGGCAGGAGAAUCGCUUGAACCCGGGAGGCG